rnacentral:rRNA from 1 species
GGCUUAACACAUGCAAGUCGAGGGGCAGCAUGGUCUUAGCUUGCUAAGGCUGAUGGCGACCGGCGCACGGGUGAGUAACACGUAUCCAACCUGCCGUCUACUCUUGGCCAGCCUUCUGAAAGGAAGAUUAAUCCAGGAUGGCAUCAUGAGUUCACAUGUCCGCAUGAUUAAAGGUAUUUUCCGGUAGACGAUGGGGAUGCGUUCCAUUAGAUAGUAGGCGGGGUAACGGCCCACCUAGUCAACGAUGGAUAGGGGUUCUGAGAGGAAGGUCCCCCACAUUGGAACUGAGACACGGUCCAAACUCCUACGGGAGGCAGCAGUGAGGAAUAUUGGUCAAUGGGCGAUGGCCUGAACCAGCCAAGUAGCGUGAAGGAUGACUGCCCUAUGGGUUGUAAACUUCUUUUAUAAAGGAAUAAAGUCGGGUAUGCAUACCCGUUUGCAUGUACUUUAUGAAUAAGGAUCGGCUAACUCCGUGCCAGCAGCCGCGGUAAUACGGAGGAUCCGAGCGUUAUCCGGAUUUAUUGGGUUUAAAGGGAGCGUAGAUGGAUGUUUAAGUCAGUUGUGAAAGUUUGCGGCUCAACCGUAAAAUUGCAGUUGAUACUGGAUGUCUUGAGUGCAGUUGAGGCAGGCGGAAUUCGUGGUGUAGCGGUGAAAUGCUUAGAUAUCACGAAGAACUCCGAUUGCGAAGGCAGCCUGCUAAGCU